rnacentral:rRNA from 1 species
AACGAACGCUGGCGGCAUGCCUAACACAUGCAAGUCGAACGAGGCCUUCGGGUCUAGUGGCGCACGGGUGCGUAACGCGUGGGAACCUGCCCUUAGGUUCGGAAUAACUCCCCGAAAGGGGUGCUAAUACCGGUUAAUGUCUUCGGACCAAAGAUUUAUCGCCUUUGGAUGGGCCCGCGUUGGAUUAGCUAGUUGGUAGGGUAAAAGCCUACUAAGGCGACGAUCCAUAGCUGGUCUGAGAGGAUGAUCAGCCACACUGGGACUGAGACACGGCCCAGACUCCUACGGGAGGCAGCAGUGGGGAAUAUUGGACAAUGGGCGAAAGCCUGAUCCAGCAAUGCCGCGUGAGUGAUGAAGGCCUUAGGGUUGUAAAGCUCUUUUACCCGGGAUGAUAAUGACAGUACCGGGAGAAUAAGCUCCGGCUAACUCCGUG